rnacentral:ncRNA from 1 species
AAUCAACUCCUAGCCCUGGUUCCUAAGUUGCCUUUCUGACGUCGUUCCCACAGAAACAAUAUGGAGCCCUGGCCGUGACGAAAGUCACCAGGGUGUAUGGCAGAAAUGCCCGCAUCUCCCGUAUCUGGAAAGGUGUUAAGGUG